UACGAAGGGGGCUAGCGUUGCUCGGAAUUACUGGGCGUAAAGGGCGCGUAGGCGGCACUGUUAGUCAGGCGUGAAAGUCCUGGGCUCAACCUGGGAACUGCGCUUGAUACGGCAGAGCUAGAGGAUGGAAGAGGCUCGCGGAAUUCCCAGUGUAGAGGUGAAAUUCGUAGAUAUUGGGAAGAACACCGGUGGCGAAGGCGGCGAGCUGGUCCAUUACUGACGCUGAGGCGCGACAGCGUGGGGAGCAAACAGGG
rnacentral:rRNA from 1 species